UGGGGAAUAUUGGACAAUGGGGGCAACCCUGAUCCAGCAAUGCCGCGUGUGUGAAGAAGGCCUUCGGGUUGUAAAGCACUUUAGGCUGGGAAGAAGUUACGUAGUUUAAGAGAUAGCGUAAUUGACGGUACCAGCAGAAUAAGCACCGGCUAACUCUGUGCCAGCAGCCGCGGUAAUACAGAGGGUGCAAGCGUUAAUCGGAAUUACUGGGCGUAAAGGGCGCGUAGGUGGUUAUAUAAGUGAGAUGUGAAAUCCCCGGGCUUAACCUGGGAAUUGCAUCUUAGACUAUGUAGCUGGAGGUCAGUAGAGGGUAGUGGAAUUUCCGGUGUAGCGGUGAAAUGCGUAGAUAUCGGAAGGAACACCAGUGGCGAAGGCGGCUACCUGGACUGAAUCUGACACUGAGGCGCGAGAGCGUGGGGAGCAAACAGG
rnacentral:rRNA from 1 species